rnacentral:rRNA from 1 species
AAUGAACGUUGGCGGCGUGGAUUAGGCAUGCAAGUCGAACGCGUGUAGCAAUACACGAGUGGCGAAAGGGACAGUAAUACGUAGAUAUGUACCCUCCGGCCUGGGAUAGUCCGUCGAAAGACGGGGUAAUACCAGAUAACGUCUCCGGACCAAAGGUGUGAUUCCACCGGUGGAGCGGUCUGCGUCCUAUUAGCUUGUUGGUGGGGUAACGGCCUACCAAGGCAAUGAUGGGUAGCGGGUGUGAGAGCACGACCCGCGUCACUGGGACUGAGACACUGCCCAGACACCUACGGGUGGCUGCAGUCGAGGAUCUUCGGCAAUGGACGCAAGUCUGACCGAGCGACACCGCGUGCGGGAUGAAGGCUUUCGGGUUGUAAACCGCUGUCAGUGGGGAGGAACUCUAUGCGGGUUCUCCCGCAUAGUUGACCUAUCCGCAGAGGAAGCAAGGGCUAAGUUCGUGCCAGCCGCCGCGGUAA